GACCACAUUGAAAUACCAGUUUUCAUACAAUCACUGAAGUUAAGCAUUGUUGGGCUUGGUCAGUAUCUAGAUGGUUGACUGCUUGGGAACACCAUGUGCUGUAA